rnacentral:rRNA from 1 species
GACGAACGCUGGCGGCGUGCCUAAUACAUGCAAGUCGAGCGGAAGUUGGAGAGUUUGCUCUUCAACUUUAGCGGCGGAGGGGUGAGUAACACGUGGGCAACCUGCCCUGCAGAUCGGGAUAACUCCGGGAAACCGGUGCUAAUACCGCAUAGUUUUCGCCACCUCCUGGUGGCGUACGGACAGACUGUUUCGGCUGUCACUGCAGGAGGGGCCCGCGGCGCAUUAGCUAGUUGGUGGGGUAACGGCCCACCAAGGCGACGAUGCGUAGCCGACCUGGGAGGGUGAUCGGCCACACUGGGACUGAGACACGGCCAAGACUCCUACGGGAGGCAGCAGUAGGGAAUCUUCCGCAAUGGACGAAAGUCUGACGGAGCAACGCCGCGUGAGUGACGAAGGUUUUCGGAUCGUAAAACUCUGUUGUGAGGGAAGAACAAGUACCAACUAACUACUGGUACCUUGACGGUACCUCACCAGAAAGCCACGGCUAACUACGUGCCAGCCGCCGCGGUAAAAC